UACAGAGGUCUCAAGCGUUUGUUCGGAUUCAUUGGGCGUAAAGGGUGCGUAGGCGGCGCGGUAAGUCGGGUGUGAAAUCUCGGAGCUUAACUCCGAAACUGCAUUCGAUACUGCCGUGCUUGAGGACUGGAGAGGAGACUGGAAUUUACGGUGUAGCGGUGAAAUGCGUAGAUAUCGUAAGGAAGACCAGUGGCGAAGGCGGGGUCUCUGGACAGUUCCUGACGCUGAGGCACGAAGGCCAGGGGAGCAAACGGG
rnacentral:rRNA from 1 species